UGGGAAAAAGAAGUAAUAUCACGUACCUUGACCAUGGUAUCAGAGAAUGACCUCAGAAGUUGUGAGGGAAUUCUCAGACAAAACUUUGAAAUAUAAUCCAGGAUUCAAUCAGGUAUUAUUUUAAUCUUUAAGUAGUCUUGAUGGGUUGCAAACUUUCAUGAAUAGAGGAGAGCUGCUAAGUACUUGGGUUAAGAGGGCUUGAGACCAACUCCGGUAUAAAUUGUGACAUUCUGUCUAUAUAGUAUAAAGGACGCUCAGCAUAACCCAAGAAGGUCACAGACCAGAAUCACUGGCUGAAACCUCUGGCAGUGACCAACCUCAACUCAAAAGCAAGCCUGAAAUCCCAAGAGGAGGUUGGUGAAUAAAGAGAAAUCAGAAAGGGACUGUCAGAUACCAACCCCCAACCAACCAGGGCUUUUCCCCACAUCACCACUCCCUGAAGGAACAGCGACAACUGAGGGAGUGGAAACACAUUUGGGACACGUGAUGCAAAGGUAACCUGGUGGCUCAUUUAAGGGCUGUGUGACUUGGAUUGGUCAUCAUCCUUUCUCCAGAUGGAGUUUCCCUUUUUACAAAAAGAUCUAGAAAAUCAGCUGUACUAGCAUAGACAGUGCUGCAGUAACAAAUUAGCUCUGGAGUCUUGGCUUAACACAGUAAAAGUUUAUUUCGUGUUUUCAUUAAAUGACACAUACAGGUUGGUGGUGGAAUGGGAAGUGGAGAUGGGAAUUCUGCUUAAGCACCCUGGUUGAUAGAGGCUCUGGCACUUGCAGCUAUAUUACUGGAGCCUUGGGCCAUCACCAUCUUGGCCGUAGAGGGAGAGAAUGCAUAGAGAAUUCACAUGUGUCCUAUACUUCAGCCUGGAAGGGACACAUAUCACCUCUGUCUCAGUGGUUGGACAGAACAAACUACAGAUGGACUGGGACAGAUGGGGAAGCCUAUGGAUAUUUGGUGAGCAAUACAAUAAAUGCCUCUGCCACAACAGCCUUUUAAUGCUGUGUGCAUGUUACUACGUGUUAUGGCAUCUCAGAAUUCCAGACAGAUCUUUUGGAUCCUAAUCUGCUGGGAUGUCUCAUCUAAGAUUCUUAUUUAUUUCCUGAGCACCUAAUAGGCAGUCCUCGUGUCAAAAACAGCACACCAGUGGGUUCUGCAUAAUGAUUUUACCUCUAGAGUUUUCCCUCUCCUCUCCUCUCCCCUCCCCUCCCCUCUUCUCCCCUCCCCUCCCCUCCCCUCUCCUCUCCC
rnacentral:lncRNA from 1 species